rnacentral:rRNA from 1 species
AGUGAACGCUGGCGGUAGGCCUAACACAUGCAAGUCGAACGGCAGCACAGUAAGAGCUUGCUCUUACGGGUGGCGAGUGGCGGACGGGUGAGGAAUACAUCGGAAUCUACUUUUUCGUGGGGGAUAACGUAGGGAAACUUACGCUAAUACCGCAUACGACCUACGGGUGAAAGCAGGGGAUCUUCGGACCUUUCGCGAUUGAAUGAGCCGAUGUCGGAUUAGCUAGUUGGCGGGGUAAAGGCCCACCAAGGCGACGAUCCGUAGCUGGUCUGAGAGGAUGAUCAGCCACACGGGAACUGAGACACGGUCCAGACUCCUACGGGAGGCAGCAGUGGGGAAUAUUGGACAAUGGGCGCAAGCCUGAUCCAGCCAUACCGCGUGGGUGAAGAAGGCCUUCGGGUUGUAAAGCCCUUUUGUUGGGAAAGAAAAGCAGCAGGUUAAUACCCCGCUGUUCUGACGGUACCCAAAGAAUAAGCACCGGCUAACUUCGUG